UACGGGGGGGGCAAGCGUUGUUCGGAAUUACUGGGCGUAAAGGGCGCGUAGGCGGUCAGAUAAGUCAGCUGUGAAAACCUCGGGCUUAACCCGAGGCCUGCAGUUGAAACUGUUUGGCUGGAGUGUGGGAGAGGAGAGUGGAAUUCCCGGGUGUAGCGGUGGAAAAUGCGUAGAUAUCGGGAAGGAACACCGGUGGCGAAGGCGGCUCUCUGGACCACUACUGACGCUGACGGCG
rnacentral:rRNA from 1 species